rnacentral:piRNA from 1 species
UACAGAAGUAACCUACUAACCCAAAGA